CUCAGGACGAACGCUGGCGGCGUGCUUAACACAUGCAAGUCGAACGAUGAAGCCUAGCUUGCUGGGUGGAUUAGUGGCGAACGGGUGAGUAACACGUGAGUAACCUGCCCUGGACUCUGGGAUAAGCGUUGGAAACGACGUCUAAUACUGGAUAGGACCUUGCACCGCAUGGUGUGGGGUGGAAAGUUUUUCGGUUUGGGAUGGACUCGCGGCCUAUCAGCUUGUUGGUGAGGUAAUGGCUCACCAAGGCGUCGACGGGUAGCCGGCCUGAGAGGGUGACCGGCCACACUGGGACUGAGACACGGCCCAGACUCCUACGGGAGGCAGCAGUGGGGAAUAUUGCACAAUGGGCGCAAGCCUGAUGCAGCAACGCCGCGUGCGGGAUGACGGCCUUCGGGUUGUAAACCGCUUUUAGUAAGGAAGAAGGGGCACCUUUGGGUGUUUUGACGGUACUUGCAGAAAAAGGACCGGCUAACUACGUGCCAGCAGCCGCGGUAAUACGUAGGGUCCGAGCGUUGUCCGGAAUUAUUGGGCGUAAAGAGCUCGUAGGCGGUUUGUCGCGUCUGCUGUGAAAUCUCAAGGCUCAACCUUGAGCUUGCAGUGGGUACGGGCAGACUAGAGUGCGGUAGGGGAGAAUGGAAUUCCUGGUGUAGCGGUGGAAUGCGCAGAUAUCAGGAGGAACACCGAUGGCGAAGGCAGUUCUCUGGGCCGUAACUGACGCUGAGGAGCGAAAGCAUGGGGAGCGAACAGGAUUAGAUACCCUGGUAGUCCAUGCCGUAAACGUUGGGCGCUAGAUGUGGGGACCUUUCCACGGUUUCCGUGUCGUAGCUAACGCAUUAAGCGCCCC
rnacentral:rRNA from 1 species